AUCUGAUGAUGAGGGCAACUUGCGCACAACCUCUUAAAUAUCGCCCAGUACUCAUACAAACUCUCACCAUGUUGGUGCCUAAUUCCAGAUAUGUCCUUUCUGAUUGU